rnacentral:rRNA from 1 species
GGGGGGGGGGGGGGGGGGGCCUGGCGGGGGCGGGUCGGGGGGGGGGUUCGGGGGUGGUGGCGGGCGGGUGCGUAACGCGUGGGAACCUGCCCUUAGGUUCGGAAUAACUCCCCGGAAGGGGUGCGAAUCCCGGAUAAUUUCUUCGGACCAAAGAUUUAUCGCCUUUGGAUGGGCCCGCGUUGGCUUAGCUAGUUGGUAGGGUAAAAGCCUAACAAGGCGACGAUCCAUAGCUGGUCUGAGAGGAGGAUCAGCCACACUGGGACUGAGACACGGCCCAGACUCCUACGGGAGGCAGCAGUGGGGAAUAUUGGACAAUGGGCGAAAGCCUGAUCAAGCAAUGCCGCGUGAGUGAUGAAGGCCUUAGGGUUGUAAAGCUCUUUUACCCGGGAUGAUAAUGACAGUACCGGGAGAAUAAGCGCCGGCUAACUCCGUG